rnacentral:tmRNA from 6 species
GGGCAUGCUAGGCUUCGAUGGAAUGUUGUUUGUUCAAUUAGCGUGUAGUGAGAGGUGAAUGACUCACUCAAAUCAAUUGUUCACAAAGUUACGUGCAAACUUAUUUAGUCGCGUGAAGGCAGCUUUUGCUCCUUCAUUUGCGCCAGCUUUCGCUUAAUACCGAAAGCCAUCGUGUUAGAUCAGCCGUUGGAUCUUCUCACGGUGUCAACCUAGACGGCUAUAUAUAUUGAGAAUUGAGUGGCUCGAUAUAUGAACUGCACUAAACCUCACACUGUCUGGAAUACUUUGCUGGUCUGCAGGUUCCUGGUAGUGUAAAAAAAAUAGUCCAGCUAGACACGUAGAAGAUUGGAUAAUAUCGUUUCAGACGGCGGUUCAAUUCCGCCCAUGUCCACUC